UAGAAUACACAUAGACACUUGUGUGUCCUGC
rnacentral:piRNA from 1 species